rnacentral:lncRNA from 1 species
CACCAAAGCCUUCAUUUUUUAGUUGACAAACAAGCUAUCACUCCCUACCAACAGAAGUGGGUGGCAAAGAUGUUGGGGUAAGAUUACUCCAUCACCUACAGGAAGGGGCACUUAAAUACAAUUAUCGAUACAUUAUCGAGAAUAGAUCACUCACAAGAAGGACAAUUAUUGCAAUGCGUGGGAAGUAUUUCAUGGUUUGAGGUUUGGGGGCAAAUUUUAG